UACGGAGGGAGCUAGCGUUGUUCGGAAUUACUGGGCGUAAAGCGCACGUAGGCGGCUUUGUAAGUUAGAGGUGAAAGCCCGGGGCUCAACUCCGGAACUGCCUUUAAGACUGCAUCGCUUGAAUCCAGGAGAGGUGAGUGGAAUUCCGAGUGUAGCGGUGAAAUGCGCAGAUAUUAGGAAGAACACCGGUGGCGAAGGCGGCUCUCUGGAACGGUACUGACGCUGAGACGCGAAAGCGUGGGGAGCAAACAGG
rnacentral:rRNA from 1 species